UACGGAGGGUGCAAGCGUUAUCCGGAUUCACUGGGUUUAAAGCGCGUGUAGGCGGCCCUGCAAGUCGGAUGUGAAAUCCCACGGCUCAACCGUGGAAGUGCAUUCGAAACUGCAGGGCUAGAGUCCUGGAGAGGAAGGUGGAAUGCUUGGUGUAGAGGUGAAAUUCGUAGAUAUCAAGCGGAACACCGGUGGCGAAGGCGGCCUUCUGGACAGUGACUGACGCUGAGACGCGAAAGCGUGGGGAGCAAACAGG
rnacentral:rRNA from 1 species